rnacentral:lncRNA from 1 species
CAACUGUGAAUUCAUGUAGGCCUAUAAUCAUUUUAAACAGGCCUACAAACCCCAAAGGUUUUAAUUUGAGAAUCUUCAUUUGUUGGCCUCAAAUAUUAAACUGUCUUAAAAUAUUUGAUGAUUAGUUGAAUCAGGUGUGUAAGUGCUGGUCAGAACAACAGGAUGAGAAACCCUGAGAUAAACAUUAAACCAUAUAAUGUAAAAGCUCCUCCGCCAUCUUUACCAGACGUUUUACUGAUAACAUGUAGACCUACUGAUUAGUUUCCACUUUGAAAACUGCUGUCUGUCAGCAACUCAGCUCAAGUAGCAGUUCUACUAACUAGUAACAUCUCAUUACAGAUAUUCAUUAUCUUACUCUGUCCUUUAGAAUGAAUUAUUGUUCAGAAAUACUUACUUAUUUGUCAGUAAUCUCCAUAUAGCGUCUUCUGCUCUGUCGUCUCAAAAUGGAUCCUGAACAAAAGAACAACUUUACUUUCUGUUUCACUCAGCCGUCUCCCCACCCUGAAAAUAAAGUGUUUUAUUGGUAUCAUCCACUAGAUGGCAGUAAACACCUGCUGUAACUACACUUUACAACUAUGUGUUCGGUUUCAUACAGGCAGUGUCCCAGAGUUAGAUUGCUGAUCUAGGAUCAGGUCCCCCUCUCCAUGUAAUCUGAUUCAUUAUGAUCUAGGAUCAGGUCCUCCUCUCCAUGUAAUCUGAUUCAUUAUGAUCUAGGAUCAGGUCCUCCUCUCCAUGUAAUCUGAUUCAUUAUGAUCUAGGAUCAGGUCCUCCUCUCCAUGUAAUCUGAUUCAUUAUGAUCUAGGAUCAGGUCCUCCUCUCCAUGUAAUCUGAUUCAUUAUGAUCUAGGAUCAGGUCCCCCUCUCCAUGUAAUCUGAUUCAUUAUGAUCUAGGAUCAGGUCCCCCCUCUCCAUGUAAUCUGAUUCAUUAUGAUCUAGGAUCAUGUCCCCCCUCUCCAUGUAAUCUGAUUCAUUAUGAUCUAGGAUCAGGUCCCCCCUCUCCAUGUAAUCUGAUUCAUUAUGAUCUAGGAUCAUGUCACCCCUCUCCAUGUAAUCUGAUUCAUUAUGAUCUAGGAUCAGGUCCCCCCUCUCCAUGUAAUCUGAUUCAUUAUGAUCUAGGAUCAGGUCCCCCCUCUCCAUGUAAUCUGAUUCAUUAUGAUCUAGGAUCAGGUCCCCCCUCUCCAUGUAAUCUGAUUCAUUAUGAUCUAGGAUCAGGUCCCCCCUCUCCAUGUAAUCUGAUUCAUUAUGAUCUAGGAUCAGGUCCCCCCUCUCCAUGUAAUCUGAUUCAUUAUGAUCUAGGAUCAGGCCCCCCCUCUCCAUGUAAUCUGAUUCAUUAUGAUCUAGGAUCAGGUCCUCCUCUCUCCAUGUAAUCUGAUUCAUUAUGAUCUAGGAUCAGGUCCCCUCCUCUCCAUGUAAUCUGAUUCAUUAUGAUCUAGGAUCAGGUCCCCCUCUCCAUGUAAUCUGAUUCAUUAUAAUCUAGGAUCAGGUCCUCCUCUCCAUGUAAUCUGAUUCAUUAUGAUAUAGGAUCAGGUCCUCCUCUCCAUAUAAUCUGAUUCAUUAUGAUCUAGGAUCAGGCCCCCCCUCUCCAUGUAAUCUGAUUCAUUAUGAUCUAGGAUCAGGUCCCCCCCUCUCCAUGUAAUCUGAUUCAUUAUGAUAUAGGAUCAGGUCCCUCCUCUCCAUGUAAUCUGAUUCAUUAUGAUCUAGGAUCAGGUCCCCCUCUCCAUGUAACCUGAUUCAUUAUGAUCUAGGAUCAGGUCCUCCUCUCCAUGUAAUCUGAUUCAUUAUGAUCUAGGAUCAGGUCCCCCCUCUCCAUGUAAUCUGAUUCAUUAUGAUAUAGGAUCAGGUCCCCCCUCUCCAUGUAAUCUGAUUCAUUAUGAUCUAGGAUCAGGUCCC